rnacentral:tRNA from 1 species
GUCACCCGGGCGGUGGAAUUGGUAGACACGCAGGACUUAAAAUCCUGUUCACAGCCAUGAGAGUGUGAGUUCAACUCCCAACACGGGUACG